rnacentral:lncRNA from 1 species
GGGGGACAGGUGGGGAGGAAGACUUGCCCUGAGCUAACAUCUGUUGCCAAUCUUCCUCCUUUUUUACUUAAGGAAGAUUAGCCCUGAACUAACAUCUGUGCCAAUCUUCCUUUAUUUUGUAUAUGGGUUACUGCCUCAGCAUGGUUGAUGAGUGGUGUAGGUCCACGCCUGGGAUCUGAACUUGCAAAACCAGGGCCACCGAAGUGGAGCGCACCGAACUUCACCACCACGCCACGGGGUUGGCUCACUAAUUCUCUUUGAACAUUGAUUUUGUUCCCACCACAGAGUUCCCAACAGGACAUCGCACAGCUUUAGUAACCGAUGGCUUUUCUAUUCAAGUUCCUGACCGACUGCCCAGGAGGUAGAUUGUUGCUUCUCCUUGUGCUGAAAAGUGCCGGCUUAGCAGCUUUUCUAUCACAGUCUUCAGUGUUACCCAGGCAACUAUCUCCUCUGAUGGAAGAUGCCAUUAGAGCAAUACUUCCAAAAGCGUUUUAUGCAGAGCAUUAGGG